rnacentral:rRNA from 1 species
UACGAAGGGGGCUAGCGUUGUUCGGAAUUACUGGGCGUAAAGCGCGCGCAGGCGGUUUUCCAAGUCAGUGGUGAAAGCCCGGAGCUCAACUCCGGAACUGCCAUUGAAACUGUUAAACUUGAGGACGAGAGAGGUGAGUGGAAUUCCCAGUGUAGAGGUGAAAUUCGUAGAUAUUGGGAAGAACACCGGUGGCGAAGGCGGCGAGCUGGUCCAUUACUGACGCUGAGGCGCGACAGCGUGGGGAGCAAACAGG